AUCUUCACAAAUGCGGCAUUUUUCCCUGUCAAAGAACAGGAUACCCCACCCCAUGUCAAAAGCCUUUUACAAAAUCAGCGCUUUUCCGGGAACUGCAUCAAGUUGUAACAGAUAAGGCUUGCCUGGGAAUGCCGAAGUGCCAGGUCCAAACAGGGGCCACAGUCGAAGAGGAAACGUGGUAAAAGACCGGAAAAAUGUGGGCCCUCUUACUGAUUGUAGUCGAAAAUUUCCCAGUAGUGAUAUGUCAGAUCAGAUGUUCCGAAUAACGAUAUCGUUGAAUAGCUUCAGCGGAAGUUCUUUAUGAACAUUGCACAACUAACAUAUAAAAGGGUCUGGGGAUAUAGCCAGACAAAAAAUCGCAAAUCUGUAAAACUAUUCAAAUAAACAAUAUACUUAAAAGCGCAAUCAAGAAAAAAAUCUAAUCAAAAGAACAGCCACUAUCUAGACAAAGAAAUCAAUGAAAGGGAUAGUUGGCAUUUCGCAGCGUGAAACGAAAGAAUAUUUGAUCAGAUUGACGGACUAUACUAUAAUGGUCGAAUAACAGCAAUAAUCAACUAUAAUAACAAACUCUAAAUACGAAAACAAAACAGAAAACAAUGUAAUGAGGUAUACCUUGGAGGUCUUUUCGCAUAUUGUAGGAGCUCAGCACUUGGAGCGAAUUUUCAUCAAAUCCGAUCAAGAAAGGCGAAUCGCUCACUGCAUAUGUCUUCCCUUUGAGAGCUACGACAUUCACAGAGCAGUUGUCCGUUCUUUUGGGCGGCACGAAAUAGGAGAAAAAUCGCGCGAAGAUGUUCUUGCAUGGGUCAGGAGGAAUAGGCGUUGCAAAUUCGGCGUAGACAAUUCCAUUCUUGGACUGGGCUUCGUCAAACGCAUGGCUUCGCAGAUAUCGACUGUUAUAGGUUACUUUUCCCUCUUCUAUCUUGUAAUUGUGCAGCACAGCUAAGCCGUCAAACCAGUGAUUAUAGUGCUCUUUGCCUAUCUCGUAAACGCCGGGGCCAUUUCGUAGGAGAUUCCCCUUGAUCCAGGCAGGGACGUUUCCGCUAAUGCUAGCUUCUUGAGCUGUUGGUUGUUCGGGGAACGUCUGGUAGACAUCUUCCAUUCUAAGUGAGCUUCGUGAUAUUCGUGUGAUGCUCUAUGGGCCUAAGAAAUUAGUUCUGAUAGCCGUUUGGACAGAUUGGUGCUAUUUAUAGCUGUGGGGGUAUCCCACACUUUGUGUUGACAGUUUCAAGGAUACUUAUAUCAGUAUUGACAGAAAGCCGCUUGUAUUACGGAAUCACGAGUUGGCGCGUCCUGUGCCUUUUGUCUGUGUGAACUCAAAUGCGAGAUUUUUUAAUAAGAAUAAUAUGUACUUUCAUUUAGAUACUGAGACAAUUUACAGGCGAACCUGCAAUGUCUUGAAAACCCUUCUAUUUUGCAUUCAUCGUAUCCUUGUUUUUAGCUUCAUUAGGGAAAGGACGGAUGUUGUGUAGGCGUCGAGGCGGCCGCGUAGCCGUGACGAGCGAUUACAAUUGAACUUUACCGCGCGUUACACUGUCCAGGCGAAUGACGCACAAGAAACAGUUCUGAUUGGUUUAAAAAUAGGACAAGCCCUAAACUGGAUUGGUGCAUUUCUUGUUGGCACCAUAACUGCUUUAUAAAGCUAAAACCGGCUGUGAAUGAGUGCGGAACAUAUGUUUUAUAAUAUGUUCACAUGCGUCGAAUCGAAGAAAACUACGGUACAAGUGGUUCGAUGGUAAUCUGAGCACAAAAGCAAUAACUCCCAAUGUGCAAUCAAAUACCAAAAGAUAAUGCGGUUAUUGUCUCAUUACUGUCGCAAAGGUAUCAAUAGCCAAUGAUUUUUGAUUGAAUUUUAGUGAUGUCACGACUAAAAGACUUCACAAAAUCACUCCUUCUUCGAGAAGAUUCCAGAUGGAACGAGAACCACAGCGUUACACUUAUCACGGUGACGUAAUCCAAAACUUUACUAAUCACCCUAAUAAACUGAUAAAAUGUCAAAAUAUGAUGCAAUUACGACGUAGCAGAGGAUAAAAAAAACUCGAUCAAAUGCCCGAAGCAGUCUCACGGAGCAGUUUCACGGAAUCCCCUUCACACUACGUAAAUCAAGAAAGACGCCGUGCUACUUUGACAUUUUCUCAGUCCCGCCACAGGCGGACCAGGAUUAGAAUCAGUCCCUCGUGAUCCUUCAGGAAAAUAAAAUAUAAUUUGAAGUUG